UUCAAAUUUUGUUUUUCCUUCGCUGGGGAAAAGAGCGCUUAAAUAAGUUAUCAACGUGGACCGACGGCCAUGUAAAUGGCAGCACGUAAAUGAAUGAAAUUAUUUUGCAACAAAUUAAGGCAAAUUUAUGCGUCAAGGCGACAGGACAGGGGAUUCGAGAUGGGCGAACAAACAAAAGCGAAAACGGAACAGCACGAGGCGAAACGAAACGAAACGAAACCAACAAACAAACAAACAAUGAAACGAAAAACGACAGCCUCGAAGAGUGAAAAGCGACGAGUUUUCCUUCACCGAAAUCUGAGCAAGGCUUUGUGCAACAAAGUGAAGAACCCGGCUGCCCCUUUUCCGCAUUUACAAAUCCCCCCACCCCUUUAACGGGUCUAACUGCGUCCGCUCUGCACUUGUACACAUCCUGACAUACACAUAUAUAUUUUUUAUUUCCCAGCCAAGUGAGGCUGGAAUCAAAUGUCAAUAGAGAGUACAUUUCAUUCGGUCGGGUGACUGGGUUUUUCUGCCCAGCGCCACCCACUUUUCAGUUCCCCGCAUUGUAGCUGUCACAGUGUUUGUUUGCGGAUUUGAAGCUUUUCCUCUUUGCAACGCGCUUUUUUGCCACGCCUGCCGUUGUCCUUUAUCGAAGGAGCGGCUUGAGUAUUACGAACUGAAUGCAACACCUCGAUAUUCUCGAUACCUUAUUUAAUCUCAUCGGCAUUAUCAAAAUG
ensembl:ncRNA lncRNA:CR43819 long non-coding RNA:CR43819